rnacentral:piRNA from 1 species
UGUUCUGAAAUUAAAAGUAUGUG